UAUAGGGCCAUUAUAGGGCAGUUAUGGGGCCAUUAUAGGGCCAUUAUAGGGCCAUUAUAGGGCUGUUAUGGGGCCAUUAUAGGGCCAUUAUAGGGCAGUUAUGGGGCCAUUAUAGGGCUGUUAUAGUGCAGCUAUGGGGCAGCUAUGGGGCAGCUGUGGGGCAGCUAUGGGGCAGCUAUGGGGCCAUUAUAGGGCCAUUAUAAGGCUGUUAUGGGGCCAUUAUAGGGAUGUUAUAGGGUUGUUACGGGGCGGCUAUGGGGCAGCUGUGGGGCAGCUGUGGGGCAGCUAUGGGGCAGCUAUGGGGCAGCUAUGGGGCAGUUAUGGGGCAGCUAUGAGGCUAUUAUAGAGCAGCUAUGAUGCCAUUACAGGGCCAUUAUAGGGCAGUUAUGGGGCCAAUAUAGGGCUGUUAUAGGGCAGCUGUGGGGCAGCUAUAGGGCAGCUAUGGGGCAGCUGUGGGGCAGCUAUGGGGCGGUUAUGGGGCAGCUAUAGGGCAGCUAUGGGGCAGCUGUGGGGCAGCUAUAGGGCAGC
rnacentral:lncRNA from 1 species